rnacentral:misc_RNA from 1 species
GUAGGUGAACCUGCGGAAGGAUCAUUCAUAAUAAGUGUUUUAUGGCACUUUUUUAAAUCCAUAUCCACCUUGUGUGCAAUGUCAGGGUUGAUUUUUCUCUCGAGAGGAUCAGCCCCAAACAUCAACUAUAUCUCAACUCUUUGUCCGAAAAAUAUUAUGAAUAAAACAAUUCAAAAUACAACUUUCAACAACGGAUCUCUUGGCUCUC